rnacentral:rRNA from 1 species
GAUGAACGCUGGCGGCGUGCCUAAUACAUGCAAGUCGAGCGAACAGACGAGGAGCUUGCUCCUCUGACGUUAGCGGCGGACGGGUGAGUAACACGUGGAUAACCUACCUAUAAGACUGGGAUAACUUCGGGAAACCGGAGCUAAUACCGGAUAAUAUAUUGAACCGCAUGGUUCAAUAGUGAAAGACGGUUUUGCUGUCACUUAUAGAUGGAUCCGCGCCGCAUUAGCUAGUUGGUAAGGUAACGGCUUACCAAGGCAACGAUGCGUAGCCGACCUGAGAGGGUGAUCGGCCACACUGGAACUGAGACCCGGUCCAGCCUCCUACGGGAGGCAGCAGUAGGGAAUCUUCCGCAAUGGGCGAAAGCCUGACGGAGCAACGCCGCGUGAGUGAUGAAGGUCUUCGGUUCGUAAAACUCUGUUAUUAGGGAAGAACAAAUGUGUAAGUAACUAUGCACGUCUUGACGGUACCUAAUCAGAAAGCCACGGCUAACUACGU